rnacentral:rRNA from 1 species
GCGAACGGGUGAGUAAUGCAUCGGAACGUGCCCAGUCGUGGGGGAUAACUGCUCGAAAGAGCAGCUAAUACCGCAUACGACCUGAGGGUGAAAGCGGGGGACCGUAAGGCCUCGCGCGAUUGGAGCGGCCGAUGUCAGAUUAGCUAGUUGGUGGGGUAAAGGCCUACCAAGGCAACGAUCUGUAGUUGGUCUGAGAGGACGACCAGCCACACUGGGACUGAGACACGGCCCAGACUCCUACGGGAGGCAGCAGUGGGGAAUUUUGGACAAUGGGCGCAAGCCUGAUCCAGCAAUGCCGCGUGCAGGAAGAAGGCCUUCGGGUUGUAAACUGCUUUUGUCAGGGAAGAAAUCUUCUGGGCUAAUACCCCGGGAGGAUGACGGUACCUGAAGAAUAAGCACCGGCUAACUACGUGCCAGCAGCCGCGGUAAUACGCAGGGUGCGAGCGUUAAUCGGAAUUACUGGGCGUAAAGCGUG